rnacentral:lncRNA from 1 species
GGGUAGCCCCUCUACGUUGUAACCGUCUCUUUUGAGGUCUUUUAGGACCGAGUAGAUGGAAGCAAACACGUUGAGGUAAGCUGCGGUUCCUACGUUUCCUUUGUCCGGUGGGAAACUGAAAACAGUGAUAGCCACUCUCUUUUCUGCCUGCAAUGAGUCAUAUUUAUACUCAUUAGAACAUUCAUUGCAUGUUUUGAUAAAGUCACAAAGGAUGAGUGUUAAUGAUUACCUUAGUUUUUCUUUUGAGCUCUCCCCAUCUAAUAGCCCUGAUGCAGAGUUGUUCCACUCUCUUGUGAAGAGCAUGUGACUUCCCUGCAGCAAAUGGUGACAAACUUCUUCAGUAAAAAAAAAAAAACAUUUCUACACUUGUAGUGAAAACUGACUGAUAUGCAAUAUACAAACCAUAACACCUCAAUCAUGCAGUUAAUUUGCUUUCCUCGAAUUAGUUAAAUUAGCGUUUGUUCAUAACAGUUCAUAGAUGGACUAACCUGUUCUAGGGUCGCGACCAGCGAAAACGAUUGGUUCCAUUCCUCCAUCAAGCUCAGGGAGAGCAACCUGGAGAGCCACCUGGAUGGGAUGAAGACCAAGCGUGCUGUUAAGCCACUCCUCCGUCGUCUGAAACACCAGCGGCACUCCCACAAGAUAAGGAACAUCAAGCGUCUUCAACGCCUCGAUAGCCCUCGGAUGAUCCUGCCUCGCCGGU